UGAAAGAACCAAAUGUAUACGAAUUUCACACCUCUUACAAUAAGAUGAUACGGUUCGUAUGAACUAGGAGGCGUUUACAAUAAGACGAUACGGCUUUGUGAGGCUUCAAAGAGUAUUAACAAGUAAAAAUGUGAAGCGACUAAUGGUGACUGCCAUGAAGCAGAUGCAGCUGUUGGUUAGAGUCCAAACACAAAUUCAGUCACGUAGAAUCCAAAUGUCAAAGAAUCAAGCACAAGAACAAUCAUCAUAAGAAGCGUAUCAUGAAAAAUCAUAUUC